rnacentral:lncRNA from 1 species
CUGGCACACAGGUCACACAGGUCACACUUCCUGACACAGGUCAUAUUCCUGAC